GUGAAAAAGAAAAAAAAGUAUCACCUUAAGCUGUAUGAAUAGACCUUGUAGCCACUACAAAUUAUGCAUGGAAAAAGCGUCUCACCAUAAUACUAACAGAAACUGUUAGCUUUCCAUGUCAUAACUUAACUCAGAUGCUUCAAAAGCAAACGGCUCUUCUGGUAAAAUACUUUUUUUUUAGAAAGUUAACAUUUCAAAUUACUUUUUUUGGAAUCAGCCAAUGUCCACAAGCACUCAGCAAGUAAUGUAUACCCCAACUCAACCCAAACAAGAACUAGUUAAAUAGAAACAGAGGAAGGAGAAACAUAUCUUCAAAAUUUUAUUAGGAAGUCGCCAGCAAAUGGGGGCCUCAAUCAACUGUUUAUGCAAAGUGAAUGUGACCCAUAUAUCACAUCCGUACCCCCACCCACACACACCCAAAUAUAAAAAGAAACAAACAGAGCAAAAUAAAACAAAUAAUAGCAAAAAAAUGUACAAGGCAAUGCACCUGUUGGUGAUAACUGGAGUGUGAUGACGGGAAGACAUCUGAACCAUGUAAAUGUAGUGGAUCCUGGUUGUUUACAUUUGAAAAAGAGAGACCACUAUUACUCACCGAUGAGGCAUGUUGCUGCUGCUGCUGUGAGCGAAGCGAUGAGUACGUCCCUCCCAAGUUAAAACCACCAGAUCGGCCCAUCUGUGCAGAGAAGUGCUGCUGCUGCAUCAUAGAAAUAGUAUUAUCAUGAAGUUGUUCUUUCUGGUGUAGAUCCAUAGGAUAAUCAGCAUUUCCACCUUUAAAUCCUGGCAACGCAGGAAAAUCUUCAUUUUGAAUGCUGAAUUCUUGAUUUUGUUGAGCCAUUUGUUUUCGCAAUGAACCUAAUGGUCCUUGAGGCCCUCCAGCAGAGCUAGGACGGCUGCUUAGCUGAGGGAAAUCAUUGAUAUCAAAUGGAGAUCCAUCAUUUGAAUUCACGUCAUUCAACAUUCCCAUGGAAUUAAGGUUGCCAACCGCUUGAACAUGGUUCUGAGAUAGUGGACCACCGCCAGAAGGAUAUGAAUUACCAAACAUAGACAUCGGAGAGGCUUGCUGCAGAACACCACCCAUUAGCCUAUUAGAUCCUUGAACAUUUAAAUUUCCAGAACCAGUGUUCGCAGUCAAAUUUAGCCGGGUACCAAGGCCAGGCACAGACAAUCCUGCACCAGAGCUGAUGUUUCUCCCAAUGUUGCCUCCACCGACUAUAUUUCCAACUGAAUUUGACAUCCUUGGACCUGCAUUUCCCAAAAUUGUGGACAUCCCAAGGCCUUGAACAGAACUUCGAUUACCGAUUGCUGCAGAGGUUGGAAGAAUCCCAGGA
rnacentral:misc_RNA from 1 species